rnacentral:rRNA from 1 species
GAUGAACGCUAGCGGCAGGCUUAAUACAUGCAAGUCGAGGGGCAGCAGCUUUGUAGCAAUACAAGGGCUGGCGACCGGCAAACGGGUGCGGAACACGUACGCAACCUUCCUUUAACUGGAAGAUAGCCCACCGAAAGGUGGAUUAAUACUCCAUAACAUAUUGAAGAGGCAUCUCUUUGAUAUUAAAGCUCCGGCGGUUAAAGAUGGGCGUGCGUCUGAUUAGGUAGUUGGCGGGGUAACGGCCCACCAAGCCUUCGAUCAGUAGCUGAUGUGAGAGCAUGAUCAGCCACACGGGGCACUGAGACACGGGCCCGACUCCUACGGGAGGCAGCAGUAAGGAAUAUUGGUCAAUGGACGCAAGUCUGACCAGCCAUGCCGCCGUGGAGGAGUGAAGGGACCCGUCCUGGGUUUGGUAAAC